GACGAACGCUGGCGGCGUGCUUAACACAUGCAAGUCGAACGGAAAGGCCCUGCUUUUGUGGGGUGCUCGAGUGGCGAACGGGUGAGUAACACGUGAGUAACCUGCCCUUGACUUUGGGAUAACUUCAGGAAACUGGGGCUAAUACCGGAUAGGAGCUCCUGCUGCAUGGUGGGGGUUGGAAAGUUUCGGCGGUUGGGGAUGGACUCGCGGCUUAUCAGCUUGUUGGUGGGGUAGUGGCUUACCAAGGCUUUGACGCGUAGCCGGCCUGAGAGGGUGACCGGCCACAUUGGGACUGAGAUACGGCCCAGACUCCUACGGGAGGCAGCAGUGGGGAAUAUUGCACAAUGGGCGGAAGCCUGAUGCAGCAACGCCGCGUGCGGGAUGACGGCCUUCGGGUUGUAAACCGCUUUCGCCUGUGACGAAGCGUGAGUGACGGUAAUGGGCAAAGAAGCACCGGCUAACUACGUG
rnacentral:rRNA from 1 species